ensembl:lncRNA
CUCAGUGAAAGGCCAGUUAAUGUUAUGUUACCAAUUAACCCCUUGUAUUGCAAGCAAGAAGCUCUCUCACUCAACAGUGGUCGCGGAAUUAAAGGCUGAAGAACAGUUCAAAACCCAGGGACAUCACACAUUCCAUAGUCUGUGCCACAAUGAGACUUUCCAGCCUAAAAGAAGUUAGUGUUUGAACUCCGUAUAUGAACUUGGAUUCCAGUGCUCAUAUUUGCUGAAAUGAACACUAAGUGGCCCAUGGCUGAUUUACCACCAAAAUUCAGCAGCAGCAGGCACAGGAAUGAGGCUGCGGGACACGGUGACACGGUGAUAUACCGUAGGAACCAGGCCUGCGGUAAUACUCCUCUCUGUUUAGUACCUCAUAAUUCCUGGCAUCUAUCACUGCAAGAUUUUGGUCUUCCCAAAAGCAUCCUGAAGGUCUCUUACUACAUUUCUAAAGUUCAAGUGUUCUAUCUUUGGUAAAUACAGCAGCUAAUCAGUAAUCACAGUGCAGUGCAAUAACCAGUAACGCUCAUAAGAACCCAGCUAAAUCUUUCAUUCUUUCUCAAACAAAAGGAAGAAGGAGGCUGAUGGGUUUAGGAUUCAUAAACAAGUUGCAGAUCUCUUUGAAAACCCUCAAAAGGUGAUACAGACACAGACUUCAUGCAGGGGGUGAGAUUUAUCAGCACUCAAAGUUGCUCUGAAUUUUACAGAAUCCGAUCCUAACCCAAAGUCCUAAAGCAAAACUAAGGGACUUGUUCCCUCCUUUGGGAAUCAAUCCAUUUGUUCACUGGGCCCCUGCAGACAGGCUGUAACCAGCUGCCUUUAGUGGAUAUUUCUGGUUUCCACAGUUCUCCCUUACAGCUUUGCUGACAAGUUUGUCACAUUUUCAAGAAGUACCUCAAAGGGAUAUUUAUUUAAAAUUAUCAUAAUUUCAUCCAAUGCUACAGAUCUGCCUCGAGUGGCACAGAUGAAAUCCUCCAGUUUCAUCCACUCUGCUUUCCUAUCUUACUUUAGACUAUGCUAUAUUUAUAUAUUUACAUAUUUACAAAUUUAUAUAUUUAUAUAUUUAUAUAUCUAUAUUAUAAUAUAUACAACUCAAUACAGCUGUUCUUAUAGUUCUGACAACAGCCUCUGCUCCCUCAGCUGUAUCACUCUCUAACCUGCAUGUUCUUUAAUAUGAUUUUUUCCUUUUUUUUCUUUUUAUGAUGUAUUUUAUUUUUGUAUGCAAUCAAGCCAUUUUUACCCAAGCUGGCAAGAGAAGUGGAAUGGGAAGUAAAUUAGUUUUCAAAGCCAUUAGGGCACUCCAAAAAUAAUAAGGAAAAAAGGUGGCAAAGUGCAGCACUGUAAGAUUUUGCUUCACUAGAAAGAAAGGAAAACAGUGGCUGCUCAUAAAAAUGCCAAGGGAAUUGAUGUUUCAUUAAAGAAAAAAAUUCCAGUGGCACAAAAGACUAAUUUAGGUCUUAACAUGCCACAUAGUCAGUGUUUACUAUUCCCAUAGAUAAAGGGUAAAAUACAUUCAUGGUCUGGUUGUACCUGCAUGUAUUUAUUACACCUAAGGCAGCUACUCUGGGAUACUCAGUGCCCUUUAGCUACAGCAAAAACAAUUACCCUCUUUUAAAACAAAGUUACUUGAAAACCAAGAAGCAUAAUAAAUAAUACUCUUCUUAACCCAUAGUCCUAACCUAAAGACAAGUAAUAUUGGAAAUGAAAAACAUUCAUCUGUUGGAUAUCUUCCUAACUCAGAAACUUUGUUCAUGAAGUAUGGAUUGUCAGUUUACCUAAAAUACGUUUUUGUGUUGUUCGAAAUACCCUGGAAAGUGGGAUAGCUGUUUCAGAAAAAUAAAAAACCUAAGAAAGAAAACAAGGCAUGGGAUGGGAUGAGAGUUUCUGUUACACUGCUCUUAUUCUGAGCUACAGAUGAGCAUCGAAAGUGCUGAAGGGCAAUAUUUUAAUAUGUUACAACAUAUUAAAGACAACAGCUAUAGCAUUCCUUGACCUGUUUCCAGCCUGCUCAGCACAGUUCAUUCCUUAUUUAUCAAGUAGGUCACCCUUUCCUCUGGUUUAAUAAAGGCUUACAGGGCAAUUUAUGGACUUACAUCAGAGCUUUAUAUCAGUAGUGGUUCCACUUGUGUCUAGAAACUUCCAGGACAGCAACACCCUUACA